GGCGGACGGGUGAGUAAUGUAUAGUUAAUCUGCCCUUUAGAGGGGGAUAACAGUUGGAAACGACUGCUAAUACCCCAUACUCCUUUUACAUUAAUUGUAAUUGGGAAACGUUUUUUCGCUAAAGGAUGAGACUAUAUGGUAUCAGGUAGUUGGUGGGGUAAGAGCCACCAAGCCAAUGACGCCUAGCUGGUCUGAGAGGAUGAUCAGCCACACUGGAACUGAGACACGGUCCAG
rnacentral:rRNA from 1 species